rnacentral:tRNA from 1 species
GGGGGUCUAGCUCAGUGGUAGAGUGCUUGUCCAUCAUUCAUGAGGCCCUGGAUUGGAUCCCCCA